rnacentral:rRNA from 1 species
CUACGGGGUGCUGCAGUGGGGAAUAUUGGACAAUGGGGGAAACCCUGAUCCAGCAAUGCCGCGUGUGUGAAGAAGGCCUGCGGGUUGUAAAGCACUUUCGGUUGGGAGGACUGCUUCUAGCACUAAUAUUGUUGGAAGUUGACGUUACCUUCAGAAGAAGCACCGGCUAACUCCGUGCCAGCAGCCGCGGUAAUACGGAGGGUGCAAGCGUUAAUCGGAAGUACUGGGCGUAAAGCGCGCGUAGGCGGCUAGAUCAGUCGGGUGUGAAAGCCCCGGGCUUAACCUGGGAACUGCAUCCGAUACUGUCUAGCUUGAGUACAGGAGAGGAGAGUGGAAUUCCACAUGUAGCGGUGAAAUGCGUAGAUAUGUGGAGGAACACCAAUGGCAAAGGCAGCUCUCUGGCCUGAUACUGACGCUGAGGUGCGAAAGCGUGGGAGCAAACAGGAUUAGAUACCCUUGUAGUC